rnacentral:rRNA from 1 species
GGGUAACCUCGACCCAAGAGAGUCGGGAAUAACCACCGUAGGAAACAGAUGACUAACUACCGGAUAACAACAGAUGAUGCCUAUCAACUGUUUAAAAGAUGGUUCUGCUAUCACUCUUGGAUGGACCUGCGGUGCAUUAGCUAGUUGGUAGGGUAACGGCCUACCAAGGCGAUGAUGCAUAGCCGAGUUGAGAGACUGAUCGGCCACAUUGGGACUGAGACACGGCCCAAACUCCUACGGGAGGCAGCAGGU